GGACGAACGCUGGCGGCGUGCCUAACACAUGCAAGUCGAACGGACUUCUAGAUGUUGGACCUUGGACAUUGGACAUUAGAUAAAUUAAAGAAGUUUGCCGCCGGCAAACCGAAGAAAUUAUUUAAGCCAAAGUCGAAUGUCUAACGUCCAACGUCUAGGAGUUAGUGGCGAACGGGUGAGUAACGCGUGGGUAACCUGCCCUUGUAUCGGGGAUAACUUGCCGAAAGGUGAGCUAAUACCGGAUUCACUAUUAAGAUUGCAUGAUCUUGAUAGUAAAGGUGGCCUCUUAUAAAAGCUACCGUAUAAGGAUGGACCCGCGUCUGAUUAGCUAGUUGGUGAGGUAACGGCUCACCAAGGCGACGAUCAGUAGCCGGCCUGAGAGGGUGAACGGCCACACUGGGACUGAGACACGGCCCAGACUCCUACGGGAGGCAGCAGUGGGGAAUCUUCCGCAAUGGACGAAAGUCUGACGGAGCAACGCCGCGUGAGUGAAGAAGGUCUUCGGAUUGUAAAGCUCUGUUUUUUGGGAAGAACGGCCUUUAUGUAAAUAAUGUAGAGGAUUGACGGUACCAAAGGAGGAAGCCCCGGCUAACUACGUGCCAGCAGCCGCGGUAAUACGUAGGGGGCAAGCGUUGUCCGGAAUUAUUGGGCGUAAAGAGCGCGCAGGCGGCUAUUUAAGUCUACCGUGAAAGCUUACGGCUCAACCGUAACGGGCCGGUGGAUACUGGAUGGCUUGAGGGCAGGAGAGGAAAGUGGAAUUCCCAGUGUAGCGGUGAAAUGCGUAGAGAUUGGGAGGAACACCAGUGGCGAAGGCGACUUUCUGGACUGUUACUGACGCUGAGGCGCGAAAGCUGGGGGAGUGAACGGGAUUAGAUACCCCGGG
rnacentral:rRNA from 1 species